AACGCGAAGAACCUUACCUGGGCUCGAAAUGCUAUGGACAGUCUGUGAAAGCAGAUCUUCCCGCAAGGGACCGUAGUAUAGGUGCUGCAUGGCUGUCGUCAGCUCGUGUCGUGAGAUGUUGGGUUAAGUCCCGCAACGAGCGCAACCCUUGUCCUGUGUUGCCACUCCCGUAAGGGAAGCACUCUCAGGAGACCGCCAGCGAUAAGUUGGAGGAAGGUGGGGAUGAUGUCAAGUCAUCAUGGCCUUUAUGUCCAGGGCUACACACGUGCUACAAUGGGCGGUACAAAGCGCUGCAAACCCGCGAGGGGGAGCCAAUCGCAAAAAACCGUUCUCAGUUCGGAUCGCAGGCUGCAACUCGCCUGCGUGAAGCUGGAAUCGCUAGUAAUGGUGUAUCAGAACGAUACCGUGAAUACGUUCCCGGGCCUUGUA
rnacentral:rRNA from 1 species